AAUAUUGGGACAUAUAAAAAAGACAACUCUGUUCCGCAGAGUAGCUGUUGACAUUAUAGUUGCGCAGGUACUUUGUUGACUCUAGAGAACCUCGGGCCAAUCGCACAUCCCCGUUACGGCGGCUUUGCAUUUGAAUGUCAUCCAUAUCAACUUUCCAUGCCAGUUUCUGCACCUACCACGGUGACCACGGGCAACAGGGAAUCAGGGUUCCAUUCCGUACAGGGAUCCUGACAAAUGGCUACCACAUGCAAGGAAGGCAGCAGGCGCGCAAAUGACCCACUCCCAACCCGGGCAGAUAGUGA